GUCAGUCCCCUCCGCACCCCCUCUAAUUUCUAAUCUAUGUGCCUGUAGCGUUGGAGGAAAUCCCGUCAUAUAGGAAUAUAUUGUUUCGAUUUGGUUUUGAUUUACUGAUUUCUAAUCUCCAAUUUCACUUCCGCGUGCAUAUUCUAGAUAAUUGUUGAGUAUAGAUCCAAUUUUGUUGGAUAUCAAUAGACCAAAAUCAUGGACUACAUCGGCUAAUCUAAUUGCUCAUCUGAUGAACAUGUCAGUCAGUUCUCCCUUCCAUGCCCACAGCAGAUGCUACGGGGGUUAAGCGGGAGCCCUGAUCAGCCUGUCGGUCAAGAUGAAAGACCUGCAUCUGCAUGGGUGAAGAGGCAGCCUGCGAGAGCUUCCUUUGCUGCCUCGCACCAUGAAGCAAUCUGCUGAGCUGCACCUGCACGGUUUGUUCUCCAUAUUCGGUUGUUUGUAUUGUACUGUAUCCACCACACAGCCCUGUUUUCUCAG